ACUCUAAGCUAAGCUCUGCUUUUUUUCUUUUUAAAGAAAAAAAAGCUUGCAUUUAAUAAUGAUAGAGACAUUUGAGUAUGUCCCUCGCCUAAUAAUAACUUCUACUAACAAUAUUUAAAGUCAGUUUUAAUAUUAGGGAAGACUGAGAUAAGUUCUGUGACCUUUAGUUAGUAAGAUUAACUAAUACCUUAGUCAGCUCUUCCCUGCCCCCCAAUUACAGUCUUUCGCCAUGAUAAAUUACACAGAAGCUUCCAGCUACUUGGCAUUUCUGCAAUGAAUUCCCAAAUUUUUCAUAUGCCACAAGUUCUGCUAAUGCUGUCCUUGAAUUUCCUGACCAGUUUUGCUCUCUUGUUUUUUUGGUGGUGGUGGUGAUGGCAGGAUCUUUUUGAAGCUGAUUAUGGCACUGCCUGUUAUCUUUUGGAAACACUUGAACUAGAGAACUUUUACCAUGUCUCACCAUUUUUGCCCUAAUAUUAAAAACUGGGUGGAAGUUAGUAUCCCCAAAUUCUUAAUUUCUAAUAG
rnacentral:lncRNA from 1 species